UGGUUUACCUGUACAGGUGGGGUUGACUGAUCUGCAGAAUGGUAAUGUAUCAGAUGUGUGGUUUACCUGUACAGGUAGGGUUGACUGAUGUGCAGAAUGGUAUCAGGUGUGUGGUUUACCUGUACAGGUAGGGUUGACUGAUGUGCAGAAUGGUAUCAGGUGUGUGGUUUACCUGUACAGGUGGGGUUGACUGAUCUGCAGAAUGAUAUCAGAUGUGUGGUUUACCUGUACAGGUAGGGUUGACUGAUGUGCAGAAUGGUAAUGUAUCAGAUGUGUGGUUUACCUGUACAGGUAGGGUUGACUGAUCUGCAGAAUGGUAAUGUAUCAGAUGUGUGGUUUAUCUGUACAGGUAGGGUUGACUGAUCUGCAGAAUGAUAUCAGGUGUGUGGUUUACCUGUACAGGUAGGGUUGACUGAUGUGCAGAAUGGUAAUGUAUCAGAUGUGUGGUUUACCUGUACAGGUAGGGUUGACUGAUGUACAGAAUGGUAUCAGGUGUGUGGUUUAUCUGUACAGGUAGGGUUGACUGAUGUGCAGAAUGGUAAUGUAUCAGAUGUGUGGUUUACCUGUACAGGUGGGGUUGACUGAUGUACAGAAUGGUAUCAGGUGUGUGGUUUAUCUGUACAGGUAGGGUUGACUGAUGUGCAGAAUGGUAAUGUAUCAGAUGUGUGGUUUACCUGUACAGGUGGGGUUGACUGAUGUACAGAAUGGUAUCAGGUGUGUGGUUUAUCUGUACAGGUAGGGUUGACUGAUCUGCAGAAUGGUAAUGUAUCAGAUGUGUGGUUUACCUGUACAGGUAGGGUUGACUGAUGUACAGAAUGGUAUCAGGUGUGUGGUUUACCUGUACAGGUGGGGUUGACUGAUGUACAGAAUGGUAUCAGGUGUGUGGUUUACCUGUACAGGUAGGGUUGACUGAUGUACAGAAUGGUAUCAGGUGUGUGGUUUACCUGUACAGGUAGGGUUGACUGAUGUACA
rnacentral:lncRNA from 1 species